UCUGUAGUCAAGACGACAGAGCUGCAGUAGACCCAGACUCUGUAGUCAGGACGACAGAGCUGCAGUAGACCCAGACUCUGUAGUCAAGACGACAGAGCUGCAGUAGACCCAGACUCUGUAGUCAAGACGACAGAGCUGCAGUAGACCCAGACUCUGUAGUCAAGACGACAGUGUGUCUGGUGAGGCAGGUCGUAUGUUGUCCAGACAGGCCAGGCAGGUCUAAUGUUGUCCAGACAGGCCAGGCAGGUCUAAUGUUGUACAGACAGGCCAGGCAGGUUGUGUGUUGUACUGACAGGCCAGGCAGGUCUAAUGUUGUCCAGACAGGCCAGGCAGGUCUAAUGUUGUCCAGACAGGCCAGGCAGGUCUAAUGUUGUCCAGACAGGCCAGGCAGGUCUAAUGUUGUCCAGACAGGCCAGGCAGGUCUAAUGUUGUCCAGACAGGCCAGGCAGGUCGUGUGUUGUACUGACAGGCCAGGCAGGUCUAAUGUUGUCCAGACAGGCCAGGCAGGUCUAAUGUUGUCCAGACAGGCCAGGCAGGUCGUGUGUUGUACUGACAGGCCAGGCAGGUCUAAUGUUGUCCAGACAGGCCAGGCAGGUCUAAUGUUGUCCAGACAGGCCAGGCAGGUCUAAUGUUGUCCAGACAGGCCAGGCAGGUCUAAUGUUGUCCAGACAGGCCAGGCAGGUCUAAUGUUG